rnacentral:rRNA from 1 species
UACGGAGGGUGCAAGCGUUAUCCGGAAUCAUUGGGUUUAAAGGGUCCGCAGGCGGGCGUAUAAGUCAGUGGUGAAAUCUCUCGGCUUAACCGAGAAACUGCCAUUGAUACUGUACGUCUUGAAUUCGGUCGAAGUGGGCGGAAUAUGACAUGUAGCGGUGAAAUGCUUAGAUAUGUCAUAGAACACCGAUAGCGAAGGCA